rnacentral:lncRNA from 1 species
CUUCUAAGAAGAGUCGAAGCACAAUAAUAUAAGUUUUGUUAUGUUUUACUAGAUUUAUGAACAUAUAUACAUGUACAAUAUUUCUAUCCAACAAUUUAGCAUGACCACCAAUUUUCCAUCUCUCAUCAACCCACUAAACUUCUAGACAAAAAUGUCCCACUUUCUUCUCUCCAGGAAAUAAAAAAAGAACUCUUUAGACUCUAUAGCAACAUAGAGAAGUAUUCUAAAAAGCAAAAUAAAACACUCAAAAAAAAAACUUGACUAGCAAAAAAAAAGAAAAAAGUUGUUUGUGGGGGUUGGUCCUAGCCGAUCAAUGAUUAGGGCCUAAAGGAAUCCCUCGCUAAUUUUAUUAAUUUUGAAGGAAGAGAAUUUUCUAUUUCUUUGUCUUAAUUUGCUGAUCUUACAAAUAUGUAUACAUAUCUUAUCUUCCAUCUGUCUUUCAACCUCUC